AAUGACAGUUCAUGGGAAGAAGAAGAGUGGAAUGUGAGAAGAAGCAAGGAACCAAAGAAAAUUAUUUGACGGCUACUUUUCUAUCAACAAAUAAUUAGGGUUAUCUAUGUAUAUGUAUGUAGGUAUGUCUUCAUGGGCUUGGGCCACCAAACAUUUGUUUUGCUCUUUUACUCCUGCUUUUGACAAUUGGAGUAAAGGAUUAAACAUUUUUUUACCACAAUAACAAAGGGGAAAUUGGUAUAGUCAUAAAAAAAGUUUUUCUAGACUCUAAUGUAGUUUUUCCACCAAAAAUUAUCUUCUUUUAUUUAUUUUUUUAAUUUUUAUUUUAUAAUCAAAUAAUUUAAUUCUCAUCGAAGAAAACUGUCAUCUUGCUAUUGUGAAGUGGUUUAUUGAUGCAUCUUUUCCUUUAUGAUAUUUUUUUUUUAACUCUAUACCGGUUCAAUAAGUAUAUAGAGGCCGGUUUAAUCCGAUUUAAUCCGGUUUGUCAUGCGGUUCGACCAGUGACUCAGUGGUUCGACCAAUGAACCAGUGACCCAGUGUCCUCGCCGGUUCGAUGUCCGGUCCGGUUUUUAAAAC
rnacentral:lncRNA from 1 species